CAAUCGAACCCGGAGAUAGCUGGUUCUCCCCGAAAUAGCUUUAGGGCUAGCGUCGGAAAGAACCUUAGUGAAGGUAGAGCACUGAAUGUGUGAUGGCCCCAUCCCGGGGUACUGAAUACAAUCAAACUGCGAAUGUCAUUAAGGAUGUCCGGCAGUCAGACUGUGAGUGAUAAGGUCCAUGGUCAAGAGGGAAACAGCCCAGACCGCCAGUUAAGGUCCCAAAAUACAGGCUAAGUGGAAAAGGAUGUGGGGAUGCCCAGACAACUAGGAGGUUGGCUCAGAAGCAGCCAUCCUUUAAAGAGUGCGUAACAGCUCACUAGUCGAGUGACCCUGCGCCGAAAAUGUACCGGGGCUAAGCCUGAUACCGAAACUGCGGAUUGUAGGAAACUAUAGUGGUAGGGGAGCGUUGUAUACGAGCAGAAGCCGUACCGUGAGGAGCGGUGGAUUGUAUAGAAGUGAGAAUGCCGGUGUGAGUAGCGAGAUGUAGGUGAGAAUCCUACACACCGAAAGCCCAAGGAUUCCAGGGGAAGGUUCGUCCGCCCUGGGUAAGUCGGGACCUAACGCGAGGCCGAAAGGCGUAGUGGAUGGAAAGCAGGCGAAAGAUUCCUGCACCCGUAUAUGGAGCGAAGGAGUGACGGAGACGGAUAGUGUGACCCUCUUAAUGGAUUGAGGGCGAAGCGAAGCGGCUGGUUACCAGGCAAAUCCGGUAACCAAAAGGCUAGAGCGUGACAGGUAAGCGAAAUCUUCGGAAAGUAGCGAAGCACAUGAUGACGGCUUCCAGGAAAAGCUUCUGGCAAUGCAUAUGCGGCCCGUACCAAAACCGACACAGGUGGGCAGGGAGAGAAUCCCGAGGUGAGCGAGAGAACUGUUGCCAAGGAACUCGGCAAAAUGACUCCGUAAGUUAGCGAGAAGGAGUGCUUAAGCAAUUAAGCCGCAGUGAAGAGGCCCAAGCGACUGUUUAACUAAAACACAGCUCUCUGCGAAGUCGCAAGACGAAGUAUAGGGGGUGACACCUGCCCGGUGCUGGAAGGUUAAGAGGAUCUGUUAAGAGCGAUCUGAAGCAGUGAUCCGAAGCCCCAGUGAACGGCGGCCGUAACUAUAACGGUCCUAAGGUAGCGAAAUUCCUUGUCAGGUAAGUUCUGACCCGCACGAAAGGUGUAACGAUUUGGGCGCUGUCUCGGCAGCAGACUCGGUGAAAUCUUAGUACCUGUGAAAAUGCAGGUUACCCGCAACUAGACGGAAAGACCCCAUGGAGCUUUACUGCAGCCUGAUAUUGAAUUCUGGUCAUACAUGUACAGGAUAGGUGGGAGACAAAGAGACGUGCACGCCAGUGUACGAGGAGUCGACGUUGGGAUACCACUCUUGUGUGACCGGGGUUCUAACCUGGUAUCGAGAACAGGUACGGGGAGAGUGUCAGGUGGGCAGUUUGACUGGGGCGGUCGCCUCCCAAAGAGUAACGGAGGCGCCCAAAGGUACGCUCAGAUUGGAUGGAAACCAAUCGUCGAGUGCAAUUGCAGAAGCGUGCUUGACUGUGAGACAGACAAGUCGAACAGGGACGAAAGUCGGGAAUAGUGAUCCGGCGGUGCCGAAUGGAAGGGCCGUCGCUCAACGGAUAAAAGCUACCCUGGGGAUAACAGGCUGAUCUCGCCCAAGAGUUCACAU
rnacentral:rRNA from 1 species